AUUGAACGCUGGCGGCAUGCUUUACACAUGCAAGUCGAACGGUAACAGGCCGCCAGGUGCUGACGAGUGGCGAACGGGUGAGUAAUGCAUCGGAACGUGCCCAGUCGUGGGGGAUAACUACUCGAAAGAGUAGCUAAUACCGCAUACGAUCUAUGGAUGACAGCGGGGGACCGUAAGGCCUCGCGCGAUUGGAGCGGCCGAUGUCAGAUUAGGUAGUUGGUGGGGUAAAGGCUCACCAAGCCAACGAUCUGGAGCUGGUCUGAGAGGACGACCAGCCACACUGGGACUGAGACACGGGCCAGACUCCUACGGGAGGCAGCAGUGGGGAAUUUUGGACAAUGGUCGCAAGCCUGAUCCAGUAAUGCCGCGUGCAGGAAGAAGGGCUUCGGGUUGUAAACUGCUUUUGUACGGAACGAAACUGUUCUGGUUAAUACCCGGGGCUAAUGACGGUACCGUAAGAAUAAGCACCGGCUAACUCCGUG
rnacentral:rRNA from 1 species